UCCGGCUUAACGCCGGCAGUCUCCUUAGAGUGCCCAACUUAAUGGUGGCAACUAAGGACGAGGGUUGCGCUCGUUGCGGGACUUAACCCAACACCUCACGGCACGAGCUGACGACGGCCAUGCAGCACCUGAACCGGCAGUCCCCGAAGGGAAAAUCCUAUUUCUAGGACGGUCCGCCGUUGUCUAGCCCAGGUAAGGUUCUUCGCGUUGCGUCGAAUUGAACCACAUGCUCCACCGCUUGUGCGGGCCCCCGUCAAUUUCUUUGAGUUUUAAUCUUGCGACCGUACUUCCCAGGCGGCGUAUUUAUCGCGUUGGCUACGCCACAAAAGGGGUCGAUACCCCCCACACCAAGCACUCACAGUUUAGGGCGUGGACUAC
rnacentral:misc_RNA from 1 species